UGCGUAGGCGGUUUUGUAAGUUUGGUGUGAAAUCUCCCGGCUCAACCGGGAGGGUGCGCCGAAAACUGCAAGGCUGGAGUGUGGGAGAGGUAGGCGGAAUUCCUGGUGUAGCGGUGAAAUGCGUAGAUAUCAGGAGGAACACCUGUGGUGUAGACGGCUUACUGGACCAUAACUGACGCUGAGGCACGAAAGCGUGGGGAGCAAACA
rnacentral:rRNA from 1 species